rnacentral:rRNA from 1 species
AUGUUCACUAUCGAUAAAUAUCAGCAGUGCACAUAUUGGAUUCUUUCCGAGAAGGAAUUUGCAUUGAGAUAUCACUCCAGUAGAAUGCUGGAGACUGUCCUUCGAGCCGUUGUGCUCGGAGAAGAUGACACCGAUUACCAUAUAUGUUUUGACUUCAACAGAAACUUGAAGAUUCCUUCACGGAAACCAUCCAUUGUAUGUGAGAAUUGUAUUUACUCUCUUGAUGGUAAUGAUUCAGUCAGAGCUUUCCACACAAUGGACCCAAAGGGGGUGUUCGACACAUUUAUUGUUUUUCAUGAAAAUCAAGGGAAAGUAGUACCACUCACCGGCUCUUCAACUUAUGAUCCUGAGGAUAAAUGUGUGACCAAGAGGAGCGGAUUGUAUGGAGCAACGCUUGAUGAGGCUGAUACAGUUGUCCUUGAAAUGGACAACAAUGGUCAUCUGAUUCAGAAAGCUUUCAUUUCCUACAAACUGCAAGCUACAAAAUUGUCCGUUGUAUUUUAUCACAAAGUAGGAGAGAGAACUAUUAUUCAAACACACCAAGACACAUUAUUAUCCAUGUUACAUAUUUGCCCGAACAUCCAUACAUGUUGGCUACCAAUUCUUCACCAUAAAUCCAGAAGAGAACUAGCAUAA